rnacentral:rRNA from 1 species
CACAUGCAAGUCGAACGGAGCUGAGAGGAGCUUGCUUUUCUUAGCUUAGUGGCGAACGGGUGAGUAACGCGUGAGUAACCUGCCCUGGAGUGGGGGACAACAGUUGGAAACGACUGCUAAUACCGCAUAAGCCCACGGCCCGGCAUCGGGCUGAGGGAAAAGGAUUUAUUCGCUUCAGGAUGGACUCGCGUCCAAUUAGCUAGUUGGUGAGGUAACGGCCCACCAAGGCGACGAUUGGUAGCCGGACUGAGAGGUUGAACGGCCACAUUGGGACUGAGACACGGCCCAGACUCCUACGGGAGGCAGCAGUGGGGGAUAUUGCACAAUGGGGGAAACCCUGAUGCAGCGACGCCGCGUGGAGGAAGAAGGUUUUCGGAUUGUAAACUCCUGUCGUUAGGGACGAUAAUGACGGUACCUAACAAGAAAGCACCGGCUAACUACGUGCCAGCAGCCGCGGUAAAACGUAGGGUGCAAGCGUUGUCCGGAAUUACUGGGUGUAAAGGGAGCGCAGGCGGACCGGCAAGUUGGAAGUGAAAACUAUGGGCUCAACCCAUAAAUUGCUUUCAAAACUGCUGGCCUUGAGUAGUGCAGAGGUAGGUGGAAUUCCCGGUGUAGCGGUGGAAUGCGUANAUAUCGGGAGGAACACCAGUGGCGAAGGCGACCUACUGGGCACCAACUGACGCUGAGGCUCGAAAGCAUGGGUAGCAAACAGGAUUAGAUACCCUGGUAGUCCAUGCCGUAAACGAUGAUUACUAGGUGUUGGAGGAUUGACCCCCUUUCAUU